GGAAGAUGCGAGCGUUAUCCGGAUUUAUUGGGUUUAAAGGGUGCGUAGGCGGGCUGUUAAGUCAGCGGUCAAAUGUCGGGGCUCAACCCCGGCCUGCCGUUGAAACUGGCGGUCUUGAGUGAGCGAGAAGUAUGCGGAAUGCGUGGUGUAGCGGUGAAAUGCAUAGAUAUCACGCAGAACUCCGAUUGCGAAGGCAGCAUACCGGCGCUCAACUGACGCUGAGGCACGAAAGCGUGGGGAUCGAA
rnacentral:rRNA from 1 species